rnacentral:rRNA from 1 species
ACAGCCAUACAACCCUGAACACACCCAAUCUUGUCUGAUCUCAGAAGCUAAGCAGGGUUGGGCCUGGUGAGUACUUGGAUGGGAAAUGAGACCAAAGCCCUGACUGACACCUUAAUUGCAGCCUCAGGAGCAGU